CUGCUGCCUUCCGUAGGAGUCUGGUCCGUGUCUCAGUACCAGUGUGGGGGGCCUUCCUCUCAGAACCCCUACGCAUCGUCGCCUCGGUGGGCCGUUACCCCGCCGACUAGCUAAUGCGCCGCAUGCCCAUCCGUGGCCGGGAUUGCUCCCUUUGGCGGCCUUGGGAUGUCCCUAGGCCGCGUUACGCGGUAUUAGACGGGGUUUCCCCCGCCUAUCCCCCUGCCACGGGCAGGUUGCAUACGUGUUACUCACCCGUGCGCCGGUCGCCGGCAACGG
rnacentral:rRNA from 1 species